rnacentral:rRNA from 1 species
AUUACCUGCGGCUGCUGGCACGUAGUUAGCCGGUGCUUAUUCUUCAGUGUACCUGUCAUUAGCCAACCGUAUUAGGAUCAACCGUUUCUUCCCUGACAAAAGAGCUUUACAACCCUGAAGUGCCUUCUUCACUCACGCGGCAUUGCUGGAUCAGGCCUGCGCCCAUUGUCCAAAAUUCCCCACUGCUGCCUCCCGUAGUGCCCCCCGUGCCCCCGCCCCGCCCGCCGCGCGCA